rnacentral:lncRNA from 1 species
ACUUUGGCAGCCCUUAUUGCGGAACAGGUACGCUGACUGACCCUGCUAUUAAAGGAAAAAUAGUUUUGUGUAUGGCAGGUGGUGGUUAUACAAGGAUUGGAAAAGGACAAGCAGUAAAGGAUGCUGGAGGUGCUGGCAUGAUCAUUUACAAUGGGCUAGAAUAUGGUGUUACUACGUUAGCCGAUGCUCAUGUCCUUCCUGCCCUGGAUGUUACUUAUGCUGAUGGAAUGACAAUUCUUGACUAUAUGAAUUCAACAUUGGCAUGAUCAUCUACAAUGGGCUAGAAUAUGGUGUUACUACGUUAGCCGAUGCUCAUGUCCUUCCUGCCCUGGAUGUUACUUAUGCUGAUGGAAUGAAAAUUCUUGACUAUAUGAAUUCAAC